rnacentral:rRNA from 1 species
AUUGUACGCUGGCGGCAGGCCUAACACAUACAAGUCGAGCGGGGUUUUCGGACCUAGCGGCGGACGGGUGAGUAAUGCGUAGGAAGCUACCCGAUAGAAGGGGAUACCAGUUGGAAACGACUGUUAAUACCGCAUAAUGUCUACGGACCAAAGUGUGGGACCUUCGGGCCACAUGCUAUCGGAUGCGCCUACGUGGGAUUAGCUAGUUGGUGAGGUAAUGGCUCACCAAGGCGACGAUCCCUAGCUGGUUUGAGAGGAUGAUCAGCCACACUGGAACUGAGACACGGUCCAGACUCCUACGGGAGGCAGCAGUGGGGAAUAUUGGACAAUGGGCGCAAGCCUGAUCCAGCCAUGCCGCGUGUGUGAAGAAGGCCUUCGGGCUGUAAAGCACUUUCAGUAGGGAGGAAGCGUUGUGUGUUAAUAGUACACAGCGUUGACGUUACCUACAGAAGAAGCACCGGCUAACUCUGUGCCAGCCGCCGCGGUAAGAC